AUUGUGCGGAGCGACAAGGAUCCCUGCGGUUGCGGCGCUUCUCGCAGCGCGCGCACACACACAUUGUGCCAUUUCGUUUAUUAUUCAUUCGUUCACGUUAAAGGGCACAAUGGGUGGCUCGCGCAACCCCCUUGUUUGUCAGGGCUAAGUUUGCAUUUGUCACAUGGCUUUUUGCUCUUAUUUUUAACCCUCGAGGUUACAGUUCCGUGCUCGAGGCCAGUCGGAUCACAGCCAGGUGAUCGCAGGUCCAAGGUCAGCUCGCUCAUCCCCCUCUGGGCCGCGGCAGCGCUUUGGUUAGGAGACGAAGGUGCAACGAAAGACUUUACUGACACCUGUGAGAAAUCCUGCAUCCUGUCACUGAAGAGCCACUAAAUUCUAAUGGUUCUGAUUAAUAUGUAAUGAAUAACUGCUUCGGAGCUGUAUAAGUGAACAAUAAGAUUGUAAAGUGUCUCCUUAACUCUUCUGGGAGUAAAUAAAGGGGCCGAAGUACUGGCGCAAUCGCAGAGUUUAAACCCUUUGA